GACGAACGCUGGCGGCGUGCUUAACACAUGCAAGUCGAACGGACAGGCCCUGCUUUUGUGGGGUGCUCGAGUGGCGAACGGGUGAGUAACACGUGAGUAACCUGCCCUUGACUUUGGGAUAACUUCAGGAAACUGGGGCUAAUACCGGAUAGGAUCUCCUGCUGCAUGGUGUGGGUUGGAAAGUUUCGGCGGUUGGGGAUGGACUCGCGGCUUAUCAGCUUGUUGGUGUGGUAGUGGCUGACCAAGGCUUUGACGGGUAGCCGGCCUGAGAGGGUGACCGGCCACAUUGGGCCUGAGAUACGGCCCAGACUCCUACGGGCGGCAGCAGUGGGGAAUAUUGCACAAUGGGCGGAAGCCAGAUGCAGCAACGCCGCGUGCGGGAUGACGGCCUUCGGGUUGUAAACCGCUUUCGCCUGUGACGAAGCGUGAGUGACGGUAAUGGGUAAAGAAGCACCGGCUAACUACGUG
rnacentral:rRNA from 1 species